rnacentral:rRNA from 1 species
UACGUAGGGAGCAAGCGUUGUCCGGAAUCAUUGGGCGUAAAGCGCGCGUAGGCGGCUCGAUCAGUCUGCUGUGAAAGUCAAAGGCUCAACCUUUGAAUGCCGGUGGAUACUGUCGAGCUAGAGUCCGGAAGAGGCGGGUGGAAUUCCUGGUGUAGCGGUGGAAUGCGCAGAGAUCCGGAAGAACACCGGAGGCGAAGGCGGCUUGCUGGGCAUGGUCUGACGCUGAGGCGCGAAAGCGUGGGGAGCGAACAGG